rnacentral:rRNA from 1 species
UACAGAGGGGGCAAGCGUUGUUCGGAAUUACUGGGCGUAAAGGGCGCGUAGGCGGCCCGUUAAGUCGAACGUGAAAUCCCCGGGCUCAACCCGGGAACUGCGUCCGAUACUGGCAGGCUUGAAUUCGGGAGAGGGAUGCGGAAUUCCAGGUGUAGCGGUGAAAUGCGUAGAUAUCUGGAGGAACACCGGUGGCGAAGGCGGCAUCCUGGACCGAGAUUGACGCUGAUGCGCGAAAGCCAGGGGAGCAAACGGG